GAUGAAGAACGUAGCAAAAUGCGAUAAGUAAUGUGAAUUGCAGAAUUCAGUGAAUCAUCGAAUCUUUGAACGCACAUUGCGCCCGCUGGUAUUCCGGCGGGCAUGCCUGUUCGAGCGUCAUUUCAACCCUCAAGCCCCCGGGUUUGGUGUUGGGGAUCGGCUCUGCCCUUCUGGGCGGUGCCGCCCCCGAAAUACAUUGGCGGUCUCGCUGCAGCCUCCAUUGCGUAGUAGCUAACACCUCGCAACUGGAACGCGGCGCGGCCAUGCCGUAAAACCCCAACCUCUGAAUGUUGACCUCGGAUCAGGUAGGAAUACCCGCUGAACUUAAGCAUAUCAAUAAGCGGAGGA
rnacentral:misc_RNA from 1 species